CAGUAGCCGCGGGAAAACGAGGGGUGCAAGCGUUAUUCGGAUUGAUUGGGUGUAAAGGGUGUGCAGACGGCUUAUUAAGUCACUUGUUAAAUUCUUCGGCCUAACUGAAGGUCUGCAAGUGAUACUGAUGAGCUAGAGGGUGGAAGAGAGAAGUGGAAUUCUCGGAGUAGCGGUAAAAUGCGUAGAUCUCGAGAGGAACACCAAUGGCGAAGGCAGCUUCUUGGUCCAUUCCUGACGUUCAUACACGAAAGCUAGGGGAGCAAAUGGGAUUAGAUACCCGAGUAGUCCCUGUCUCUUAUAC
rnacentral:rRNA from 1 species